rnacentral:rRNA from 1 species
CGGCGAGUGAAGCGGCAACAGCUCAAAUUUGAAAUCUGGCCCUUUCAGGGUCCGAGUUGUAAUUUGUAGAGGAUGCUUCGGCGAGGGCUCCCGUCUAAGUUCCCUGGAACGGGACGUCAUAGAGGGUGAGAAUCCCGUAUGUGAUGGGUUGCUCGAGCCAUGUGAAGCUCCUUCGACGAGUCGAGUUGUUUGGGAAUGCAGCUCUAAAUGGGAGGUAAAUUUCUUCUAAAGCUAAAUACCGGCCAGAGACCGAUAGCGCACAAGUAGAGUGAUCGAAAGAUGAAAAGCACUUUGGAAAGAGAGUUAAAAAGUACGUGAAAUUGUUGAAAGGGAAGCGCUUGCAACCAGACUUGUCCGCAGUUGUUCAGCCGGUCUCCUGACCGGCGUACUCUUCUGCGGCCAGGCCAGCAUCAGUUCGGGCGGCUGGAUAAAGGCCUCGGGAAUGUGGCUCUCUUCGGGGAGUGUUAUAGCCCGGGGCGGAAUGCAGCCAGCCUGGACUGAGGAUCUCGCUUCGGCAAGGAUGCUGGCGUAAUGGUUGUAAGCGGCCCGUCUUGAAACACGGACCAAGGAGUCUAACAUCUAUGCGAGUGUUUGGGUGUCAAACCCAUACGCGUAAUGAAAGUGAACGGAGGUGGGAACCCGCAAGGGCGCACCAUCGACCGAUCCUGAUGUCUUCGGAUGGAUUUGAGUAAGAGCAUAGCUGUUGGGACCCGAAAGAUGGUGAACUAUGCCUGAAUAGGGUGAAGCCAGAGGAAACUCUGGUGGAGGCUCGCAGCGGUUCUGACGUGCAAAUCGAUCGUCAAAUUUGGGUAUAGGGGCGAAAGACUAAUC